rnacentral:ribozyme from 1 species
AAAACCGAAAAAAAAAACGAAAAAAUGGAAACAAACUUCAAUCAAUUUAGUUCAACUUGGCCC